GGGGGGAAGAUGAUAUAUUCUUCAAAUGCAUUCUUUCUCUCUACUCCAUGAUGGCACUUCUCCAGUUCAUUGAGUGGUCGCCUCUGAGCUUUUUGUGAAGCCACGCUGCUCUGUUUUCUAUUCUGUGAUUGUCUAAAAUGAGGUGAAGAAAAGAAACUGGAAAAGAAGCUGCAGAUCUGAUUCAUAAGAACAUGUGGCCAACAAUAAACGGACAAUGCAACCUCAUUGAUAUGAUGUAACAGCCAUACAUCAGAGGAGCCUCGUUCAGCAGAUGUUAAACUGCAGUCCAAUCCUGGACUCAGGUUUCCAUCCUUCCAAGACAUAAAAAUAUUUCCUGUGCCAACUAAGCACUCCUGAGGAUGACAAGGGCAAUAAUGAUCGGCAAAAGGGUAGAGAGGCUUUUAUUUCCAUUUAGAAAAGAAAAACAGUGUCUUCAAGUUAAAGCACAGAAUGUUCCCACUGAUAAGGGAGGCUGCUGUUAAAAAGAUUUCAGUGGUCCCAUGGUAUUAUCUGCUACAAAGAGAGUUCUUUUUAAUCAUAGUACAUCAUCCUUCGACUUCAACUUUAUGAAAAACUCAUUUCCUAAGGAUUCGACAGAGCCCUCCUCUGUCUCUGGAAAUGAGGGCACCAGCAUGAUGUAGUGAGUUGGUUGGUAGAGUUGACUGAGGAGAUUUUGACUCUAAUCUCUCCUUGACCAUAAAGCUCACUGAGUGACCUUG